GUUCCCAUCCCGAACACGGUAGUUAAGCUUCUCUGCGCCAAUGGUAGUUGGGGGCUUCCCCCUGCGAGAGUAGGUCGCUGCCGGGC
rnacentral:rRNA from 4 species